GUACACGCUGUGACUAGCAUAUCAAUAAGCGGAGGAAAAGAAACUAACAAGGAUUCCCCUAGUAACGGCGAGUGAAGCGGGAAGAGCUCAAAUUUGAAAUCUUCAAGGUUUUACCUUGACGAAUUGUAGUUUAAAGAAGUGUUUUCUGUUGAAGUUUUGGUAAAAGUUCUUUGGAAUAGGACAUCAUAGAGGGUGAGAAUCCCGUAUUUGACCAUUAUUUUCAGCUUUGUGAUACACUUUCAAAGAGUCGGAUUGUUUGGGAAUGCAGUCCAAAAUGGGUGGUAAAUUUCAUCUAAAGCUAAAUAUUGGCGAGAGACCGAUAGCGAACAAGUACCGUGAGGGAAAGAUGAAAAGAACUUUGAAAAGAGAGUUAAACAGUACGUGAAAUUGUCAAAAGGGAAGCGUUUGACACCAGUGUUGUUUUUCUGAAAAUCAAUUAAAGAACUGUUUAUGCUAAGUUGUUUAGACUUUAUCAGCUAUCUGUUUAGUUUUGAGCUUUUCUUUAAUGCACUUUUCAGUUAACAAGUCAACAUCAAUUUCUUUUGCUGUAAAAAAGCUUGAGGAAGGUGGCUUGAGAUUCGUCUUAAGUGUUUAUAGCCUCUUGCCUAUGCAGUCGGAGAGAUUGAGGUCUGCAGCGUAGAUCCUUCGGGGCUAAAUGCAUUUGUGCUAAGUUAUAGCAUUUUAUAGACAACUUGUUGACUAUGAUUUGUCUUGUAGCUUACUCGCUUAUGUUAUUUUACCUACGCUUAGGAUGUUGAACUACUGAGACAUAG
rnacentral:rRNA from 1 species